CCUGCAGUCGACGGUGAUGAGGAGCUUGCUUCUCUGAUCAGUGGCGAACGGGUGAGUAACACGUGAGCAAUCUGCCCUUGACUCUGGGAUAACUGCGGGAAACUGUAGCUAAUACCGGAUACGACCUUUGGAGGCAUCUCUGGGGGUGGAAAGAAUUUUGGUCAAGGAUGAGCUCGCGGCCUAUCAGCUAGUUGGUGAGGUAAUGGCUCACCAAGGCGACGACGGGUAGCCGGCCUGAGAGGGUGACCGGCCACACUGGGACUGAGACACGGCCCAGACUCCUACGGGAGGCAGCAGUGGGGAAUAUUGCACAAUGGGCGCAAGCCUGAUGCAGCAACGCCGCGUGAGGGACGAAGGCCUUCGGGUUGUAAACCUCUUUUAGUAGGGAAGAAGCGACUGGGUUUUCCUGGAAGUGACGGUACCUGCAGAAAAAGCACCGGCUAACUACGUGCCAGCAGCCGCGGUAAUACGUAGGGUGCAAGCGUUGUCCGGAAUUAUUGGGCGUAAAGAGCUCGUAGGCGGUUUGUCGCGUCUGCUGUGAAAACCCGAGGCUCAACCUCGGGCCUGCAGUGGGUACGGGCAGACUAGAGUGCGGUAGGGGAGAUUGGAAUUCCUGGUGUAGCGGUGGAAUGCGCAGAUAUCAGGAGGAACACCAAUGGCGAAGGCAGAUCUCUGGGCCGUAACUGACGCUGAGGAGCGAAAGCAUGGGGAGCGAACAGGAUUAGAUACCCUGGUAGUCCAUGCCGUAAACGUUGGGAACUAGAUGUGGGGACCAUUCCACGGUCUCCGUGUCGCAGCUAACGCAU
rnacentral:rRNA from 1 species